rnacentral:misc_RNA from 1 species
GAUGAAGAACGCAGCGAAAUGCGAUAAGUAAUGUGAAUUGCAGAAUUCAGUGAAUCAUCGAAUCUUUGAACGCACAUUGCGCCCGCCAGUAUUCUGGCGGGCAUGCCUGUUCGGGCGUCAUUUCAACCAUCAAGCCCCAGGCUUGUGUUGGGGACCUGCGGCUGCCGCAGGCCCUGAAAACCAGUGGCGGGCUCGCUAGUCACACCGAGCGUAGUAGCAUACACAUCGCUCAGGGCGUGCUGCGGGUUCCGGCCGUUAAACCCCUUUUUUACCCAAGGUUGACCUCGGAUCAGGUAGGAAGACCCGCUGAACUUAAGCAUAUCAAUAAGCGGAGGA